CUCUGAGUUGGAGGGAGACGGCACAAGCCGGCAAAUGCGGGUAAGUCACAAGAACAAGAGCUUACCAGCUGCUGGGGUGUGGGCGCCACGGCAGCCCUCUUGGGAACCCUUGGACCUCCACAGCGCAUGGCUGAAACCGCAAUAAAUGAUGCUUCUAACUGCUGGGGGGCAGGACCCAGGAUGGGUGCAUUCGGUCAGUGGUAAGCGCCUGUGUUCGUAUGCAGGGUACAUUUUGGUCCAAGAAGGACACCGCAGAAGCAAAAUGCCCAAAUCUUAUGUUCCAGGAAGGUAGCAUUUGUAAACCAUUAGAGACAAAUCCCUCACAGCACAUGGUCCAGUGCCUAGCUUCAGUCAUGACCUGAGAGUACUGCCGAGUGUGGGUACAAUCAGAGCAAACAGGACGGGCUUCAUGGAGGGGGUGUGGUUUGAGCUGAAGCACUUGGACAAGUGAGAAGGGAAGGGAGAAUAUUUCAAGCUGGCUGGGGAGAGGGCAAAAGAGAAAGGACAGUGUUGGUGGGGUGGGGACUCUGGAAAGUGCCGGUGCCUUCCACGCAUUACCUUGCUUCAUCUGUCCAGUGUCGCUCUGAUGUAGGUGCUGUUAUUAUCCACAGAGCUCAUCCCUGGGGAGCCUCAGCCAAUCCCGCACCGUCACUCCGGUUGACGGGCCGCCCUGAGCCUCCUGGCCGGGGCCAGCAGCAGCGUCAGAACUUCCCAGGCAAAGUGGCCGCAGCCCUUGGCCAAGGGCCCUGAUGGUCACACCACAGGCCGAUGAGGCCCUGCUGCUUCUGAACUCCCUGCUCAGUGGAGCAGUCUGGGUCCUGCCCACAAGCCUGGCGCCCUGCCUGCCCCUUGAAGAUGUCUUCAGCGGGAAUCACAGCCAACGAAUGUACCAGCAGGACGAGACAAGCUAAAUGCUCAAGAGGCUCCCGGGGAACAAUGCCGCUCUCUUGGGAGAAGAACCUUCCCGAAUCCAUUCUGCCAACUGGCUGCCUCCUGAGAGGCUGAGGGCAAGACCGCGAGUGGAGCUCAAGACUCCUGCUUCCCUAGUUUCCCAGGACAAGGGUGCAAGGGACACUUACGUGCAGGGUGAAGAAGGGGGUCCGCUGGCCUGGGUGCGGCUGAAGCCGUGGGGUAUCAGAGCUGAUGGAGAGAAACAACAGCCGUACGGUGCGCAGUCAUCUGGGGGGUGUCUGCGUGCGCCCCAAGGAAAGGACCUUGCCUUACGAAAGCACUUCAUUUUUGCCUGGUGACCCCUUUUACAGGUGAGCAAACCGAGCCUCAGAGAGGUUCAUACGUGGCCCAAGGUCACAUGACUAGAAAACCCAGAGUCAGGAUUUCACCAUGAAGUCUUUGUUCUUCCCAUUCUAUCUCGAUGUCUCCCAAGGGCAUGCAACACAGUCCCUCAUAAGGAGCUGUGAAGGAGAUGACACCUAGCAAGACCUUAAACACCCCCGCUUCUGCCAGCAGUGGGGUUCAGAAAGCACCGCCAUGGCUCUCGGAGAGGAGAGGUCUGAGUGCUCCGGGUAAUCUGGGCGGAAGAGCAGGGAGCACUGGGCUGGGUGGCAGGUGAUGCGGACCUUACAUUCUUACUCUUUCCUGGAGAACGUGAACUAGGAAAGGCGACAUCGUUUUCUUAUGACUUUCCCAAGGUCACAAAGCAACACCUUCGAACCCAAUUCUCUUGCCCAACAUAGACCCUGGAGACAGGACGAGGCCCUGGAACCCACACUUAGCAAUCCCAUACUUCUCCA
ensembl:lncRNA